rnacentral:rRNA from 1 species
UACAGGGGGGGCAAGCGUUGUUCGGAAUUACUGGGCGUAAAGGGCUCGUAGGUGGCCAACUAAGUCAGACGUGAAAUCCCUCAGCUUAACUGGGGAACUGCGUCUGAUACUGGAUGGCUUGAGUUUGGGAGAGGGAUGCGGAAUUCCAGGUGUAGCGGUGAAAUGCGUAGAUAUCUGGAGGAACACCUGUGGCGAAAGCGGCUCACUGGACCACAACUGACGCUGAGGCGCGAAAGCUAGGGGAGCAAACAGG